AUGUAUCACUCGUAUACUCCGGUUCUGAGCGCACCGUCCACACCCACCCGACGACGGUUCGCUACGCGCCCUCAGCC
rnacentral:sRNA from 1 species